GCAUUCAGAUAAAUCCUUUCCCCUGAUAUUUUCCCUCCAUCCCCCUCCUCACAGCCCUGUUCAGAAGCCUGAACAUGUCAUGAUGGCUGGGGCCUCAAAUCCAGGGGACAAUAUGAGGUGAAGGUGAGCAAGGAGACAGUCUACAAAGAGGCCGUGGAAGCUGUCGGGGAAGGAGAAUGUUCAAGUAGCACAGGCAAUCAAACACUUCCUAUUGCUCCAGGUGCCAAAGCAGGAAUGAAAACCUGUCCCCUCUGUUGAAUACUCUUCUUCUUCACUCCUAAAACUACACACCUGAUGUUAGUCGUCAGCCCUCUUCUUAUCACUCUACACCUGCUGCUCUGGAGAACUCAUCCAGGCCUGUGGCUCCCUGCACGUCUACACUAGUAACCUCUGAAUCCACGGUCUCCAGCACUCCCUCCUGCUCCCAUCCCCAGGUGGCAGUCAGGUGCCUGCACUUGGCUAUCUCAACAUCAACAUCACCCCAACACCUGUUUUUUCAUGCAUUCAAGGGAGAUUUUUUUUCUCCCCAAGUUUCUUUCACCUUCCCUUUGGGGUUCCUGGAAUAAAUAAUACAAAACUUGAGGUUCUCUUGUGAUGCUGUUUGGAGUCGAGAGAGAGACAGAGAGAGAGAGAUACCCCCAGGAGGGAGUUGUCCCGAUUCUUUUCCAUCACUCGGGAGCUAGCCCUACAUCUAGUCUUACUGUUUGGAGCCUUAUAAAAAGAUCUCAUGAGCAGCCCCCUGGGAAUAGCAUGUCUUUGUUCUCUGAGAGGCAAUGAUUUUUAUCUGGACCCCACAUAACUUUUCCCCAGAGAGCAUCACAGUAAAAGCACAUGUUUAUCUUCUCUCCUUAACUUCUGACAUCCUUAAAUCCCAAGGAAGGGUAUGGAGGGAGACAGAUUGAUGAUUCUGUGUAUUUGGGUAAACCAGGUUCCUGGCUAAAAUCACUUAGUCAAAAAUGCCAAGCAUGGUCAAGGGAGAAGGGUUAGAGAGUCUAAAAGAAUGAAAUUUGGAGACAGGUAAACUUGAAAUUUAUUCUUUCCUUCACCUAUUAUUGUGUAUGUGAUUUGGGGUCAUAUUCUUAACUAUAACUACCUAUUGCCUCAUCUUAGAAUAAGGAUAAAUAAUAUCUAUGUUGAAACACUGCUGUGAGCAUUAGUGCUCAAUAACUAUUACUACUGUACUAAUGCAGGUUCUUGAUUUUAAACAAUAGAAUGCAAACUUGAAUAAUUAAGCAGAAAAGGCAUUUAUUGGAAAGGAACUAAAUAGCUCAUAGAGGAUAUGACAAAGGCAGGAGUUCUUCAUAGUUGAUAUUGUAUCUCCGUGCAUUGAAUCAGGAGACACAUGAUGUUGAUUUGUUCUGUUAUCAGUGAUGCUAAUUUUGACUACUUGAUUUUAGUGGUAACUGACAGAUUUUUUCAACCAUAAAGUUA
rnacentral:lncRNA from 10 species